rnacentral:tRNA from 1 species
GAAAUAUAGCUCAAUGGUAGAGUACUUGCCUAGCAUGCUUGAGGCCCUGGGUUCAAUCCCCACUACA